AUGGCAUGGUGGAACAUUUUGUAAUUAAUUCUUUUAAUCUCUCUCAUGUUUCAUGGAACAUCUCACCAUCCAUCUUGGAAAAACUUGUGAUGGCUUUUCUAAUUU